GCUACAGGCUUAACACAUGCAAGUCGAGGGGCAGCAUGGUCUUAGCUUGCUAAGGCCGAUGGCGACCGGCGCACGGGUGAGUAACACGUAUCCAACCUGCCGUCUACUCUUGGACAGCCUUCUGAAAGGAAGAUUAAUACAAGAUGGCAUCAUGAGUCCGCAUGUUCACAUGAUUAAAGGUAUUCCGGUAGACGAUGGGGAUGCGUUCCAUUAGAUAGUAGGCGGGGUAACGGCCCACCUAGUCUUCGAUGGAUAGGGGUUCUGAGAGGAAGGUCCCCCACAUUGGAACUGAGACACGGUCCAAACUCCUACGGGAGGCAGCAGUGAGGAAUAUUGGUCAAUGGGCGAGAGCCUGAACCAGCCAAGUAGCGUGAAGGAUGACUGCCCUAUGGGUUGUAAACUUCUUUUAUAAAGGAAUAAAGUCGGGUAUGGAUACCCGUUUGCAUGUACUUUAUGAAUAAGGAUCGGCUAACUCCGUGCCAGCAGCCGCGGUAAUACGGAGGAUCCGAGCGUUAUCCGGAUUUAUUGGGUUUAAAGGGAGCGUAGAUGGAUGUUUAAGUCAGUUGUGAAAGUUUGCGGCUCAACCGUAAAAUUGCAGUUGAUACUGGAUAUCUUGAGUGCAGUUGAGGCAGGCGGAAUUCGUGGUGUAGCGGUGAAAUGCUUAGAUAUCACGAAGAACUCCGAUUGCGAAGGCAGCCUGCUAAGCUGCAACUGACAUUGAGGCUCGAAAGUGUGGGUAUCAAACAGGAUUAGAUACCCUGGUAGUCCACACGGUAAACGAUGAAUACUCGCUGUUUGCGAUAUACUGCAAGCGGCCAAGCGAAAGCGUUAAGUAUUCCACCUGGGGAGUACGCCGGCAACGGUGAAACUCAAAGGAAUUGACGGGGGCCCGCACAAGCGGAGGAACAUGUGGUUUAAUUCGAUGAUACGCGAGGAACCUUACCCGGGCUUAAAUUGCAGAUGAAUUACGGUGAAAGCCGUAAGCCGCAAGGCAUCUGUGAAGGUGCUGCAUGGUUGUCGUCAGCUCGUGCCGUGAGGUGUCGGCUUAAGUGCCAUAACGAGCGCAACCCUUGUUGUCAGUUACUAACAGGUUCCGCUGAGGACUCUGACAAGACUGCCAUCGUAAGAUGUGAGGAAGGUGGGGAUGACGUCAAAUCAGCACGGCCCUUACGUCCGGGGCUACACACGUGUUACAAUGGGGGGUACAGAGGGUCGCUACCACGCGAGUGGAUGCCAAUCCCCAAAACCUCUCUCAGUUCGGACUGGAGCCUGCAACCCGACUCCACGAAGCUGGAUUCGCUAGUAAUCGCGCAUCAGCCACGGCGCGGUGAAUACGUUCCCGGGCCUUGUACACACCGCCCGUCAAGCCAUGGGAGCCGGGGGUACCUGAAGUGCGUAACCGCGAGGAGCGCCCUAGGGUAAAACUGGUGACUGGGGCU
rnacentral:rRNA from 1 species